UUUUUUUUUUUUUUUUAAGAUUUUAUAUAUUUAUUCAUGAGAGACACACGCACACACAGAGAGAAGCAGAGACACAGGCAGAGGGAGAAGCAGGCUCCAUGCAAGGAGCCUGAUGUGGGACUCGAUCCUAGGUCUCCAGGGUCACACCCCGGGCUGCAGGCAGCGCCAAACCGCUGUGCCACUGGGGCUGCCCUCUGAGUCCUCUUGUGGGUAGAACACAGGACGGCUUCCUCCAGGAAGGCAGCUCGGAUGGCGGGCUGCAUGCCGAGCAUGGAGGCCUAGGCAGAGCCCUCCUGCCCCCCCAGACCUCGAGCCAGCUGCCCUCAGGAGGAAACCCGAGUCAUCAGGACCGGGAGCCAGUAGCCAGGGGUGGUGUGGACCCUGCUCAGCUGUCCUGCCCAGGCCAGCGCAUCCUAGGAUCAUUGGAACCAGAGGCCAGCAGCACAGGUUCUAGGCCGGGCCUUCUUGCCAGAAUAUGGGGUUCUGGUGGGUGUUCCCCUCCGCACUAGCAGGCUGGGGGCAUUAUUUCCAAACUCACCCCUCUUCACCGUGUGCGAGCUGGCAUCAUUGUGGCAUCAGGCCUAAACCUCCUCUGGCUCUGGGCAGGUCCCCAAACGUGUGCGCACACACAGAGGGGGUGCCACUGGGGCACUUCAUUUGUCUGCAGGGCCCAGAAGACUUCUGUUCACUCCCAGGGCCCAUGGGGACUGGCGCUGCAGCAGCCAGAGCCUAACGCAAUGAAUGGCUGGGGACCCUUUGUGGUCUGUGGGGACUCUGUGCUUGCCGGCCUCGUGGGGCAGCAGACCUUAGGUACCAAAUGCUGUCAAGAGUAAAACCAUUGGGAACUUCAGAUGGCGACAGCAGCAUCAGGCCAAGCCAGGGCCUCUCUACGGAGGUGGCCCUCAGCCCCCAGUUUGUGCAGCCUGGCCCUCCCCACCUCUGCCACAGCCAGUGGAGGAAGGGAGGAGGGGCAGAUGGCAGGAGGAGGGAGCCAUGCCCGCUGCUAUCAUGGGAAGGAAAGGAACGGGAGGCCAGGUGGAUACCGAGCUGUGUCCUGCCACAAACCUACAACAGCCUUGCCAGAGACAGCUGAGUGCAACCCCUAGGGGCUGCAGAUGGGUAGAUGAGAACUUGGUCCUAUACAGGAUGAGGGCAGGUGGGGAGGGACAAGGUAGAGAGUGCUCAUGCCAGGGGCCCCAGGGCCACCCCAGGCCCCUAGCGCACCCUGUGACAGGCUGCCACCACUCCUGCUUCCCAAGGCACCAAUCAGGGCUUUGUCCCUCAACCCACCCCCAGCAAACACGAGAUCCCAUCUUCCCUGUUGGCGGGUGGGGACACUGAUGUCCUGGUGGGCCGGCCCACAACCCUUCCUUGCCUCCAUGCUUGAGGAGAGGGCUCUCCUGACCACACAGCUCACUCCUGGCUGUGAUGGGUCACCCAAGACCAAAACUGUCCGAACGUGAGAAAAUUCUGAUUUGCUACCUCAGGAAACACCUGCUCUUGGCCUCGUGCACUGGCUGCCCCAGGGCCAGGCUCCCUGAGCAGCCCCCACCUCACCGUGCUGUGUGUCCCCGUCUCUAGAGGGAGUGUUGGAGGGCAGGUCUUCUCUGCCCCCGAGCAGUGACCAGGAGGGCCCCAGAAAGGCCUGGAGGGAGCCAGGGUUGGCAGAUCACAUGUGCUAGAUCCCACCCUCCUUCCCCCCCCCCAGCGCUGCGAAUGGCCUCCCGUCCCCACCCUGAGACCAGCCCAGCACUGUCCCCUUGCUCCUGCCCACACUGUGUUACAGGGCCCAGCUGCCACCCCAGAACGAUGUGCACACCUGCACAGCACUGCACCCAGCCCAGCUGGCACAGCCCUGAGUGAUGGGGUGGCCUGGCUUGCAGGAGGCAGCAGGUGCAGGGGUCCAGGGUGAGAGCAGACAGGAAAGCAGGGCUGGGUGUCCCAGGCUGAGGGAGUACUCAGUACUGGUCUGGAGGUGUGUCAGGGGUGAGGGGAGAGCAGGUGGGUCAUUCUGUAGAGGACGGGGCACCACAGGCAGGGGUACCCAGUGCGGCCCUGCUGGGCCCGGAGCACUCACUGAGAGUGCUCAGUGACAGAGCAGAAGACUCUGGCAAGCCCAGGACAAGAAGGCGUGGGGGCUGCCCAGGCAGCAUGGACUCCUGGUGGGCCAAGCUCAGAGGUUCCUGCUGGCAGGUGUGGCCCCCACUGGGUUUAACUUCUGUGCUUGGAGACUUGAGAGCUGUGUGCUGCCACUUGGUUCAGCUUACCUACCGUUGGUCUCCUCAUUCAAAAUUGCUCAUUCCGGCAGGUCGUAAUUAUUGCCAUUUUGAAGCUCGACAAAGCAGCCUUUUCAGUGUGUCCACUGGAAUCAAAAGGCAUUUGCAGCUUGACACACCUUCUGGUCACUUAGAAAGGACCCAGCCAGCUGCCCCUUCAUGGCUGCACAUUGUCCCUUGCUCCUUCCCCCAGAGCUUCGCCCACAGCAGCAUACGUGAUGCCAAGUGUGUGGGGUUGAAAGUCGAGGGCGUUGCAAACAGCCUGAUCUCUGGGGCACACGAUGGGGCCUGCACCAGCCUUCCCACCCCACCCCACCGCUGUGCCACCAGGCAUGAGCUCUGACCCCUGAAGAGUGAGCGGAAGUGACCUAGAGGUGUGAACUGUACCACCCGGAUGGUGGCUGCUAGUUCCCAGAGUGAGGGGACAGAUGGGCACAGUUCCCAGCCAACCCAAUGACAGAUAAUGAACAGCAGGGUGGUUGAUUCCUGCAACUGAAUGAGCCUCUUGCUUACACUCUGCUGCUUCUCCAGACAAACUUGUAUACGUUGAGGCAGCUGUUUUAAGGGGUUUGUUUGGUUUUCUAGUUAUCUCUGCACCCAACCUGGGGCUCAAACGCACAACCCUGGAGGAGCAUGCGACUCUUAAUCUUGGGGUUUGGGUUUGAACUCCAUGUUGGAUGUAGACAUUACUUUAGAAAAAGGGAAGAGCCUCAGUGGCUCAGUUAAGUGUCCAGCUUUUGAUCUCAGCUCAGGUCUUGACCCUCAGAGUCAUGCAUUUAAAAAAAAAAAAAAAAAAA
rnacentral:lncRNA from 1 species